UACGGAGGGUGCGAGCGUUGUCCGGAAUCACUGGGCGUAAAGGGCGCGUAGGCGGCCUGAUAAGUAGGGGGUGAAAUCCUGCGGCUUAACCGCAGGGCUGCCCUCUAAACUGUCAGGCUAGAGCACAGUAGAGGCAGGUGGAAUUCCCGGUGUAGCGGUGGAAUGCGUAGAGAUGCAGAGGAACACCGAUGGCGAAGGCAGCCCCCUGGGUCGACACUGACGCUCAGGCACGAAAGCGUGGGGAGCAAACAGG
rnacentral:rRNA from 1 species